GACGAACGCUGGCGGCGUGCUUAACACAUGCAAGUCGAACGGUAAGGCCCUUCGGGGUACACGAGUGGCGAACGGGUGAGUAACACGUGGGUGAUCUGCCCUGCACUUCGGGAUAAGCCUGGGAAACUGGGUCUCAUACCGGAUAGGACCACUGCCUGCAUGGGGGGUGGUGGUAAGCUUUUGCGGUGUUGGGUGGGCCCGAGGCCUAUCAGCUUGUUGGUGGGGUGAUGGCCUACCAAGGCGACGACGGGUAGCCGGACUGAGAGGGUGACCGGCCACACUGGGACUGAGAUACGGCCCAGACUCCUACGGGAGGCAGCAGUGGGGAAUAUUGCACAAUGGGCGCAAGCCUGAUGCAGCGACGCCGCGUGAGGGAUGACGGCCUUCGGGUUGUAAACCUCUUUCAGCACCGACGAAGCGCAAGUGACGGUAGGUGCAGAAGAAGGACCGGCCAACUACGUGCCAGCCGCCGCGGUAA
rnacentral:rRNA from 1 species